CCGCUAGUGGCCCUUGUCUCUCCCCAUGAGCUUGUCCCGGGCCGCACGAGAGGACAGAGCCGUCUCGGGCGAGAGCGUCCUCUUCGAGGCUAGUGCCUGGCAUGUGGUUGGUGGCCAGUACUUGCCCGAAGUACGUGCAGGACGAAGAAGCUGUGCGCUGAUCUCGAGGGCCGAGGCCGCCUUUGUGAAAGUCUCGAGCUGCAAGCGACGCGGAGACACGAGGGAGCGCAGCUAACGUGGGGGUGACCCAGGGUUCCGGGCUGCGGUCCAGGUGUCAGUAGGCAGUGAUCGGUGAGCUAGUCAGUGAUCCGGGAGCUAGUCUAAGGGCCUUGAUCUUGUCGCUAAGGAAUUUGGGGUGCGAUGGGUUACCCAGGAGUCUAUUGAAGCCAAUGCAGGGUGAGUUGGGAACUGUGAGUAUUCUUGGUGUGUAGUCGGAGUAUGGACAGGGGACGGUGUGACAGGUUGGGUUUUGGGAGGAGUCAUUGAAUUUGGGAGGAGUGAAAAUAAGCCAUAGUUGUCAUCAGUGUGUGUGUGUAUAGAUAUAUAGAUAUUUUUUUAACUGCCUCUGGUGCCAAAUAUACAGGUGUCGCACUCCUGACAUGUUGGGUGGCAGGUCCGUGUUUGGCAGCUUGUUUCCAUCAGGUGUCUUUGGGAAAGUUCAGUCCUGCCUGGCCGGUGAAGGCACAAGUCCAUUUCUGCCUUCACAGGAUUAGAGUAAAUGUAAACAUGGGCUACUGUC